rnacentral:rRNA from 1 species
CAGCCGCCGCGGUAAUACGUAGGGUGCGAGCGUUAAUCGGAUUUACUGGGCGUAAAGCGUGCGCAGGCGGCCCGUUAAGACAGGUGUGAAAUCCCUGGGCUCAACCUAGGAAUUGCGCUUGUGACUGGCGGGCUCGAGUACGGUAGAGGGGGGUGGAAUUCCUGGUGUAGCAGUGAAAUGCGUAGAGAUCAGGAGGAACACCGAUGGCGAAGGCAGCCCCCUGGGCCUGUACUGACGCUCAUGCACGAAAUCGUGGGGAGCAAACAGGAUUAGAUACCCUGUUAGUCCACGCCCUAAACGAUGGGUACUAGCCGUUUGGUGCGCGAUAGCGCUGAGUGGCGAAGCUAACGCGUGAAGUACCCCGCCUGGGGAGUACGGCCGCAAGGUUGAAACUUAAAGGAAUUGGCGGG